rnacentral:rRNA from 1 species
CGGACGCCUAACCAUGCAAGUCGAACGGGACUUUGUUUGUAGCAAUACAGAUAAAGUUUAGUGGCAGACGAGCGAGUAACGCGUACCUAAUCUGCCCAGAAGUUGGAGACAACUACAGAGAUGUAGCUAAUACCCAAUAGUAUCUAGAUGAUGAAAUUAUUCUAGAUUAAAGAUUUAUCGCUUCUGGAGGAGGGUGCGUCCUAUCAGGUAGUUGGUGAGGUAACGGCUCACCAAGCCUAUGACGGGUAGUCGGGGUACAUUGGAAANGAUGAUNGUCCGNGGCCGCGAUGGGACUGAGAUACGGCCCAUACUCCUACGGGAGGCAGCAGUGGGGAAUCUUGCACAAUGGGCGAAAGCCUGAUGCAGCGAUUCCGCGUGGAGGAUGACGCAUUACGGUGUGUAAACUCCUUUUCUGGUGGAAGACGAAUGACGGUACACCAGGAAUAAGGGACGGCUAACUACGUGCCAGCAGCCGCGGUAAUACGUAGGUCCCAAGCGUUAUCCGGAUGUACUGGGCGUAAAGUGUACGUAGCCUGAUAUGUAAGUCUG